rnacentral:rRNA from 1 species
GUGGGGAAUUUUGGACAAUGGGCGAAAGCCUGAUCCAGCCAUGCCGCGUGCAGGAUGAAGGCCUUCGGGUUGUAAACUGCUUUUGUACGGAACGAAAAGACUCCUUCUAAUAAAGGGGGUCCAUGACGGUACCGUAAGAAUAAGCACCGGCUAACUACGUGCCAGCAGCCGCGGUAAUACGUAGGGUGCAAGCGUUAAUCGGAAUUACUGGGCGUAAAGCGUGCGCAGGCGGUUAUAUAAGACAGAUGUGAAAGCCCCGGGCUCAACCUGGGAACUGCAUUUGUGACUGUAUAGCUAGAGUACGGUAGAGGGGGAUGGAAUUCCGCGUGUAGCAGUGAAAUGUGUAGAUAUGCGGAGGAACACCGAUGGCGAAGGCAAUCCCCUGGACCUGUACUGACGCUCAUGCACGAAAGCGUGGGGAGCAAACAGGAUUAGAAACCCGAGUAGUCC